ACCUGGGUGGCUCAGUUGGUUGAGUGCCUGACUUUGGCUCAGGUCAUGAUCUCUCAUGGUUCGUGAGUUCAAGCCCCACAUCAGGCU
rnacentral:tRNA from 1 species